UCUUCUUUUUCAGAUCACACAGUGUAAACAACUGGAUGUUCACACAGAGCUUUGUGCAGGAUUUGGUGAACAGAUUUAAAAACCCCAAACAGCGUAUGUCGUUCAUUACCUACUCGACACACGGCCGCAUCAACAUGAAGCUGACCUCGAACAG